rnacentral:rRNA from 1 species
AAUGAACGCUGGCGGCAGGCCUAACACAUGCAAGUCGAACGGGUCCUUCGGGACUAGUGGCGGACGGGUGAGUAACGCGUGGGAACAUACCCAAAGGUACGGAAUAGCCUCGGGAAACUGAGAGUAAUACCGUAUGUGCCCUUCGGGGGAAAGAUUUAUCGCCUUUGGAUUGGCCCGCGUUGGAUUAGGUAGUUGGUGGGGUAAUGGCCUACCCAAGCCGACGAUCCAUAGCUGGUUUGAGAGGAUGAUCAGCCACACUGGGACUGAGACACGGCCCAGACUCCUACGGGAGGCAGCAGUGGGGAAUCUUAGACAAUGGGGGAAACCCUGAUCUAGCCAUGCCGCGUGAUCGAUGAAGGCCUUAGGGUUGUAAAGAUCUUUCAGAUGGGAAGAUAAUGACGGUACCAUCAGAAGAAGCCCCGGCUAACUCCGUG